UCCGUGUUGACGUGACAUUCAUUCAUUACUUCAAGUCCAUAUAUAUAAAGCAGCUGUCCAGUUAGUGGUCAUUUUGUAUCACAAAUCAUGAAGUGUCUGAUCAUUUUCUGUGCUCUUGUUGCUUUCGUUGCAUCUGAGAGGUGCUUUUCUGAUGCGGACUGUGAUCACGUGACCUGUGACUCUGGGUACCAAGUCGACUGCAAUCAUUUCCUAUGUACCUGCAACCCCUCCAUGUCUAACAGAUGCACAAGCAAAGACCAGUGUUCUGGGACAUGUGACUCUGAGUGGCAUUGUAUUGACAACAGGUGUAUGUGCAGAAAAGUCUAAAAAUACUGAAAAUGUAACUGAAAGAGCAGUUGGACAAACGCCUAACGGCCUUUCCUAUCCAUAUAUUUUGAAUUUAAUGGCUCAAUAAAGAUUCGUAUAAAAUUAAA